GAUGAACGCUGGCGGCAUGCCUAACACAUGCAAGUCGAGCGGACGGACGGGAAGCUCGUGUUUCUGCUGGUAGCGGCGGACGGGCGGGUGACACAUGGAUCACCUACCUAUCUGACUGGGAGAACUACGGGAAACCGGAUCUACUACCGGAUAAUACUUUGAACCGCAUGGAUCACAAGUGCUAGACAGUCUUUCUGCCACCUAUAGAUGGAUCCGCGCUGCAUUAGUUAGUUGGUAAGGUAACGGCUUACCAAGGCAACGAUGCAUAGCUGACCUGAGAGGGUGAUCAGCCACACUGGAACUGAGACACGGUCCAGACUCCUACGGGAGGCAGCAGUAGGGAAUCUUCGGCAAUGGGCGAAAGCCUGACGGAGCAAUGCCGCGUGAGUGAUGAAGGUCUUCGGAUCGUAAAACUCUGUUAUUAGGGAAGAACAUAUGUGUAAGUAACUGUGCACAUCUUGACGGUACCUAAUCAGAAAGCCACGGCUAACUACGUG
rnacentral:rRNA from 1 species